GGCAAGGUGGCCGAGUGGUUAUGGCGCUAGUUGUUCGUCUCCCACCACAACACCUACUUUUCUCCAUCGGAACAUCUCAACUAACAACCUCCAAGUUAGGUUCUAUCUAAUCACUAGUUUCGAUUGAUUCGCGGGUUCGAAUCCCGUCCUUGUCA
rfam:Aspergillus flavus NRRL3357 scf_1106286419032 genomic scaffold, whole genome shotgun sequence.